rnacentral:rRNA from 1 species
ACUCCUACGGGAGGCAGCAGUGAGGAAUAUUGGUCAAUGGGCGCAAGCCUGAACCAGCCAUCCCGCGUGCAGGAAGACGGCCCUAUGGGUUGUAAACUGCUUUUCCAGGGGGAGAAUUUUUCUGUCGUGACAGGAAUUGACGGUACCCUGGGAAUAAGCAUCGGCUAACUCCGUGCCAGCAGCCGCGGUAAUACGGAGGAUGCAAGCGUUAUCCGGAUUCAUUGGGUUUAAAGGGUGCGUAGGCGGAAUAGCAAGUCAGCGGUGAAAGCCUGUGGCUUAACCAUAGAAAUGCCGUUGAUACUGUUAUUCUUGAGUGUAGUUGAAGUGGGCGGAAUGUGUAAUGUAGCGGUGAAAUGCUUAGAUAUUACACAGAACACCAAUUGCGAAGGCAGCUCACUAAGCUAAUACUGACGCUGAGGCACGAAAGCGUGGGGAGCAAACAGGAUUAGAUACCCUGGUAGUC